rnacentral:tRNA from 1 species
GUACCCUUAGCUCAGUUGGUUAGAGCAGACGGCUCAUAACCGUCCGGUCGUAGCUUCGAGUCCUACAGGGUACA